CCUACGGGUGACAGCAGUGAGGAAUAUUGGUCAAUGGACGAGAGUCUGAACCAGCCAAGUAGCGUGAAGGAUGACUGCCCUAUGGGUUGUAAACUUCUUUUAUAUGGGAAUAAAAUGUUCCACGUGUGGGAUUUUGUAUGUACCAUAUGAAUAAGGAUCGGCUAACUCCGUGCCAGCAGCCGCGGUAAUACGGAGGAUCCGAGCGUUAGCCGGAUUUAUUGGGUUUAAAGGGAGCGUAGGUGGAUUGUUAAGUCAGUUGUGAAAGUUUGCGGCUCAACCGUAAAAUUGCAGUUGAAACUGGCAGUCUUGAGUACAGUAGAGGUGGGCGGAAUUCGUGGUGUAGCGGUGAAAUGCUUAGAUAUCACGAAGAACUCCGAUUGCGAAGGCAGUUCACUGGACUGCAACUGACACUGAGGCUCGAAAGUGUGGGUAUCAAACAGGAUUAGAUACCCGAGUAGUC
rnacentral:rRNA from 1 species